UCAUCUUCAAUUAAUGUCAAUUUGCAUGAUUAUAAAGUUGUGGAGCUGUUCAGUAAUUACGAAAGGAAAUGGAAUAGAGAGCUGAUUGUCAAUACCUUCCCAGAAGAAGUGGAUGAAAAUAUUCUCUGCAUCCCAUUGACGAAGGAACCUCAUGCUGAUUUUAGGGUUUGGCGCGGCGAAUACUCGAUUCGAAACGCCUAUAAACUAUUACAAAGUCUGGAACUUAGAAAUUAUGCUUUAUAUCCUGACUACAAAGCUUUCUACAUAAAACUAUGGAGCCUAGAUCUACUAAAAAAAAUUAUAAUUACAUGCUGGAAAAUUUCUCCGAACUAUUUGCUUACUCGGGUAAAUAUGUCAUGUAGGAAACUAGUAAAUAGUCCAACAUGUCCUCGUUAUGGUGAAGAAGUAGAAACAAUGGACCACCUCUUUCAGGAUUGUCUUGUAUCAACGGCAGUAUGGGGAUUAUUGUCGGCUGUUAACUUUUUACAGGAAACAAAUUUAGAGUUCGAACAGUGGCUUACCAGGGUCCUCGUUGACCAGCCAACCUCCUUUUAUAGACUAUUUUGUUGUACAUUAUGGGCCAUAUGGGGGGACAGAAAUGCUCAAAUACAUGAUAAAACAAACAGAUCUAGUCAGGAAAUUGCAUGCUUUGUUCAUAGCUACUUAGAAGAAAUGGAUGGUUUAGAGAGCACUAUUUCUAUAGUUUCUGAGGAGAAUACUAAAUGGAAACACCCACCUGGUCAAAUAGUGAAAAUAAACUUUGACGGAGCAUAUAAUGAGCGCAACCAACAAUCGGCUUCUGGGAUAGUAGUCAGAAACAGAAAAGGUUUCGUCCUCCUGUCAUGCACAGAGAUUCACCAUAGAGUUCUCUCCGCCUUCGCAGCCGAAGCACUCACUUGUAGAAAAGUGAUCCAAAUAGCACUCAACAUGCAAGAGAAGGAAAUCAUUAUCGAAGGCGACUCUUUAUCGGUAAUAAAGAAAUGCAAGGCGACAGGGGAAGAUAAAUCGCAAAUAGGGGUUUAUAUUCAUGAUAUUCAUCAGCUACAGUCCAGAUCUAGCAAAAUAAGGUUUGAAUAUACCCCAAGAUCAGCGAACAGUCUAGUACACAUACUAGCAACAGAAUCAUUAAGAAGAAAAGAAGAAAUGUACCUGGUUGAAAGUGUUCCCACGUAUGCCGAAAAUCAGAGGAAAAUCGACUGCGAAAGAGAACCGGACUAAAGAAAGGGGGAGAAGAAAGAAAGGGGGAAGUCUAAAUUGGCAGAUCAAAAGCAUCGGUGGUUUAGAGCUUCCCUUGGAAAAUGGUAUUGGCAUUAAGUCUAAAUUGAAAGAAAAGAUGGAAAUGGCAGGCGUCAGAUUAUUUGAUUGGGCAAAUAAGACGGUAACAUUUUAUUGAUGAUCUAGAGCUUUCUUUAUUAUUUUUUUAAGCUAGUUUUUUUGUCUUUUUCAGUCAAGGUUUUAUUGGGCCAGAGGUUAUGUCCGGCCUUAAUUUCAAGUGGACUUUUGUUUGUUUUAUUUAUAUAAGCCCAAUCUGAGUUAAUGUUUAUAUUUUGAUAAAAUUUAAGAUUUAGUCUCUAUCAGUGGCGUAAU
rnacentral:lncRNA from 1 species